rnacentral:tRNA from 1 species
GUCGGUGUAACUCAGCCUGGUUAGAGUGCGAGUCUCAUAAGCUCGAAGUCGGGAGUUCAAAUCUCCUCACCGACA